GUCACAGUAUAGCGCAGAAUAUUGCAAUGUGUUUGAAAUCACUGUAAUAUAGUAUUGUGGCAUAAGUAUCGUGAUGAUAUCGUAUCGAGAGG